UGCGAUACUUGGUGUGAAUUGCAGAAUCCCGUGAACCAUCGAGUCUUUGAACGCAAGUUGCGCCCGAAGCCUUCGGGCCGAGGGCACGCCUGCCUGGGCGUCACGCAUC
rnacentral:rRNA from 1 species